CCCCUUUAAUACGGCCACGCCGUUAAACGGCCAGAUUUUUGUGGCCCGUUGGUGACCUCUUUAAAGGAGUUCCACUGUAUCGGUAAAUGACGAGUUUUGCUGUGAUUUUGGGUUUAUAUGAUUAGGAUUUAGCGAUUGUGGGUGUUACCACAGAUGCCAGAAAUUAUUAAGAAAGAUGUUGUUGAUUUAUUGGUGACGAAUGACACUACAAGGAAUACUCGCAUGAAUAAUAAACAAUUAAUGAAUUGAGACUUGAUGUCUCCCGAGAAUGACAAUACAAAAGACAUGUCCCACCUCCAGAUUUUUCAUUGAACAAGUUUGAGUAGAAUUGGAGUAUGGUUUACUUUCUUAAUAAUAAAUAAGCUAUUAGUGGUUUGGUUUUCAAUUACUUAUGAAUAAGGUCUUGGGUGUGUUUCACCCCUGGCUGAAAAGGUCUUAACUUUUACAUUUUAAAGUUGAUUUAAAGUUGACUUUUAAUUUACGAACGUCAAGUGUUACCUAAAAUUACUCAUAUUUGUUUGCCUUUGUUUCUCACUUUCAGGUGUUCAUACAAGUCGAGAAACGGGAGUUACUUUCCUCACGUAAAACAGCACAUAGACUUGGCAUGUGUUCAGUGCAGGUUGUACAGGAGCCAUAAUACCUUAACGUUUGAUGAGUUCGGGUCAUUUUAUAAAAUUACUGCAAGAGCUACUGCGCUCGCUCUCAUUGGUCGAUAGGUGUGUUUAGAUGAGAAUAUGUAAACACGGUUGUGACGUUUUAGAUUUGCGUGUAUCUUUGAGAAUUAUUUUAUAAAACCAAUAGAGCACUUUUUCCGUGUUUACAUAGACUCAUCUAAACACCCGGGGGAUUGGGAGAAUUCUCGAAAGUUAUGCAAACCCGAGAAUUCUCCCAGCCUCCCUUGUGUUUAGAUGAGGCUAUGUAAAUACGGGAAAAAGUGCUUUAUUGCUUAAAUAUGAAAUUCCAGACAGUGCCCUUGGUUGCUAGGAAACGUUGAACUUCCGGUAAGCGACCAGCGCCUUCGCGGCAGGCUUAGCGUUUUCCGACAGCAAUCGACAAGGUAGACCCUUUCGAGCGGCGAAGCGUUUAAAGGUUUGAAGAAAUGCAGAAACAGAUAGACUAUCGAAGAGUUCGAGAUGAACCGUUCUGGUGGAGGUACAGGUAAAGAGACAUAUAUAAAUCUUGUGUAGAGAGGGCCGGCAAAAUCGAUACCAGUGUUCGAAAAUGGAGGUUCUUCACUCACUCAGCUUGAUGGUAGAGGAGGUCACGGUUACUUUGGUGCGGCAAAUGAUUUUGACGUGACUCCUUUGACAGCCUCGCGACCUCUCAAGACCCAAUGCUUCUCUCUAAUACAGUUAAGAGUUUCUUUGAUUCCGUCAUGGUGCAUCAGCUACUUCGUGUUUUUCGCAAACGAAGGGAGGAAUAUUCGCUCUUUGGCGGGCUCGGGCAAAGUGGAUCUGUUGAUUCUUCCUUGACAGCGAACGAUGUUGCUACAUCGAGGAUGCUAGACCAUCACAUUCGUACCACCGUUUAUGAGUUGUCGAAUUUCGUCUUGAGAUGCAGAGGAUUGAAUGUUUUUUAUCCACAUUUUCUCUACCUCUAUCAACUCUUCAGCGAGCAACCCGAGCGUUUUGGAGCGUGGAUCGCUUUUCCUCACAUUUCUUGUAAAUCGAAGGACAAUAGCAGUUAAUCGGAGCAUCUUUUUGGUUUUGGCGCUGUAUCUCUGAGGGUGAUUAACUUCUCAAGAUUGACGGAGCCAUCGGUACUUGUUGACAGACCAGCUAAUUAGUGUAUUAUUGUCGGUACAAGCUUAAUCAGUUCGGCGAAGGCUAGCCUGCAAACAAGCUCCCGGCGAGGACAGAAAACAAUUCGGCGAGCAAGGCGAGUGGACGAGCGCGAAACUGAAGAAUUUGGAGAGCGAAGCGAUCGGGGCUUCUUUCGGGCUCGCCGGGAGCCUGUUCGCAGGGUAGGCGAAGGCUUGUUCCUGUCUUUGCUGGUGGGUUGUGGAUCUUUAUGCCAUUGCUGCCCUACGAGUUUAAGAAAACGCGCUCCAGUUCACCAGGUUUCAUUUUCUUUGAGAUCUUGUGCGAAACCGUCCUUGAGACGGUAAGUCAGCGGGGGUUUACUUCUCCUGGGCAAUGCCUCCAUUGGUGAACAGGUGAAUGCUUGUUAGUUAUCUGAUUUCUUUGAUUCGAGGUUGAACGUAUUGUUUCCAGUACGCUGGGUUGUUCGUGAUCCAUCGUAGUGUUCUGAAAGAAUCGGUCCACAGUGUAACCUCGGGAGGGGCCGUUACUGACGUGGAAGCUCGUAGAACGGAGUGAACUAAUCUUGCAAGUAGGGUUGCUCCCAGCAACAUUAGUCGCGACGUGGUCUGCUUCGCGAUUGGAGCCACUCAUUUCUUAGAUGCCUCAAGGUUGACUUCGACUUCUCAGGUUCUGCCCUCCACGAAGAGAAACGGCUGUUACAAAAGCGUUGUCCGACGCAUCACAGAAUCCUUGAAUUUGAUGAUUAACGGGUUGUUCAUUGGUGAAACGAAAGUAGCAGCGAGGGACUCUAACGUCUUUUAAGGCUCGAAGAUCAUAAGCGAGCGAGUGCCAUCUUACUGGAGGUUUGUCUUCUAACUUGUCCUCCCAGUCAGCUCCCUUGGUACACAGAGAUUGAAAGGGGAUCUUCAUGUUGAUCGUGAAUGACGUGAGUAGGCCCAUAGGAUCGAAGACCUUUGCGGCGAGCUUCACUGAUCGCUUUGACUGUCUGGAAGCGAUUUCCCUUAAGACAUCAGCUCUGUGCGGUCAAAAUGAAAUUCAUUCCAGUUGAUUCAGCUGAUCCCUAGAAACUUGAUGUAACACUGGCGCAGUCUACGAGUCACGUGCAGCAUUUACGGGAAUUGCGGCAGCUUCCACUUGCGUACUGCUAUCGUUCUCGUAGAAGCCAUAAUUCUUGUUUAAUCUCGUCCACUUCGUAAGUAGAACUGUUCUCCUGAACAUUGAUGUUUUCUCGAACGCUUUUAGAGUUAGAGUUCCACUUUAACAACUGGAGACACUCUUGUUCAUCAAUUCUUUACAGGUGCGAUAAAUUUGUGACGCUUCGGAAUCUUCGUAAGCCCCACUGGCGAAGUCGUCAAAGUAAAGAGAGUCGAGUAGUAACAACAAAAUCUUCGGCUACUUGUCUUCAUGUUGUUACAAGUGGUGACGCCGAAUGGUACCAGCUAGAAUAGUAGGAUUAGGUGUGAGACCAAAAGGCGGGCCACGCAACCGACACUGCUUGAUCUCGGGUCUUUUUUUUUUUCUAUAUCGUCUAGCCAAUAGAACUUAGGCAUUUGUCUAUCAUCGAUCAGAUGCACUUAAAAUUUGAUGACAAAUUCUCUCAAUAUCGGCGAUGAUUCUGAUAGGAUAACCUCUAACUUCAGGAGAACAUGUGGAACCAGGUUAGCGUCCUUCUGUAAGCAGUCAUUCAGCGAUAGAUAUUCGAUAUUCCAAAACCGCCGUAAAGCGGAAAGUUCCGUUGUCGAUCAUGUAAGAAUUCGGAGAACCUAUCUUUUCGAUGACAACAAUAGCCACUGACAAGUCCGAAAUCUCUCCCUUUUCUUGCGUUGGGUCACCAAGAAACUAUGUUCUUGGUUGGGCCGGACAUCACCCAUCUAAAUUAGCUAUAAACGGGACCAGUGACUCCACGACCUAUUUCGCCGGUGAGUAUUUCAAAAUUAUAAUCAGAUCCAGUGAGAAUGGCGAUCUUUAGGUGGCUACCAUAUACGAUGCUGGUUUCAGCGAAAUUCAAUCCUUGUAAAUGAGGAAGUCGGUAGUACAUAUCAUCCAGAUUUGAUGACAGAGAUGAGCGUGUUUUCGGUAAUAAGAGGGCAGACAUUUUCACAUCUUCAUCUUUGCCGCGCAACGAUAAUCUGACAAACCCGAUAACAUCGCUGUUUCGCGAAACGAAUUGAACUGAAUUCAAAAGCCAAGUUAAUAGUAUGUCAUUCGCAGACAUAAAAAUGCUGCCGUACAGAAGAGGAUUUGCAGGGGUAAAACUUUGGCACAAAUAUUGCUUGUAUAUCAAAGCAAGGCAAAGGUGGCGUGGACGUUUUUUCAAUUCGUAUACAAGAUCUCUGUCAACUUUGCCUGUGAAUAGGCUCCCGAUUGUGUUAUAAGGGAAGCCGGAAAAAAAAAACAGGCGCGCGAGAUGUCGAGAGUGGUCUAGAGAGGGAAAAAUCCCACCCGCAAGGCUCGCUUCGCUCACCUUAUAUUGUUUUUUUUUCGCGCUCAUCGGGAGCCUGUUCACAGAGGGUGCCAACUCUCUCAAGUUAUCCAGGAGCCUCCUGGAUACAGAUCGAAUCUCCCGGCCUCCCGUACGGAUCACCACUUUUAUUUUGGCCAAUAAUUGUCAAUUUCGCGGGAAUACGUUUGGAAUAUUUGCCGAUGCAUUUCUGUGGUUAAAUCGGCAGAGUUCUCCUUUUAACGACGCUUUUAGGGUCGAGAAAGUAAACUUGGCGAUGUACUCUUCUUUUUACGUGACGCGUGACUGGUGAAAAAUUAUCCGUGAUGCGUGAUUUAAUAGAAAAAUUCAGCGUAAUGCGUGAUUGCAACAAGGUGAUCAUGUAUUCAUGUCAAGCGCGUGUGUUGAACAAACGUUUUCAACGUAGCAUGAUUCCAUUGACCAGUUUUGAUACAAAAAAUGCUUACCUGUGAUUGAGACUUGGCAAAUAACUAGUCUAGAUAUUACACUAGUAGCUCCUAGAAAAGGUUCGUUUGAUUCUCUUAAUGAGCACAGAAAUCGGUCGAGGAACGACAACUUGUUAAUUACUCUCAACACUCAACCACAAAUGUGUCCCCCGGCUUUACUCCUGCUGACACGACAUAUGAUUGGUCGAAUACGUGAACCGUGUCCAACCCCGCUUGUUCUUACCAGUUCGAUGCAUGCGUUCUAAUAUUUACCUUCCGCGCUCGUAAGUCUUUCUAUUACUUGUUAAAGUUGCUGAACAAUAAUUUCCGUCAAGAUCAAAGCUGCAAUAAAGUUCUCACAGUUGCCGUUA